rnacentral:rRNA from 1 species
GACGAACGCUGGCGGCGUGCUUAACACAUGCAAGUCGAACGGAAAGGCCCUGCUUUUGUGGGGUGCUCGAGUGGCGAACGGGUGAGUAACACGUAAGUAACCUGCCCUUGACUUUGGGAUAACUUCAGGAAACUGGGGAUAAUACCGGAUAGGAGCUCCUGCUGCAUGGUGGGGGUUGGAAAGUUUCGGCGGUAGGGGAUGGACUCGCGGCUUAUCAGUUUGUUGGUGGGGUAGUGGCUUACCAAGGCUUUGAGGGGUAGCCGGCCUUAGGGGGUGACCGGCCCCCUUGGUACUGCGAUACGGCCCAGACUCCUACCGGAGGCAGCAGUGGGGAAUAUUGUACAAUGGGCGGAAGCCUGAUGCAGCAACGCCGCGUGCGGGAUGACGGCCUUCGGGUUGUAAACCGCUUUCGCCUGUGACGAAGCGUGAGUGACGGUAAUUGGUAAAGAAGCACCGGCUAACUACGUG